rnacentral:rRNA from 1 species
GAUCCUGGCUCAGGAUGAACGCUGGCGGCGUGCCUAACACAUGCAAGUCGAGCGAAGCAUUUUAAAGGAAGUUUUCGGAUGGAAUUUGAAAUGACUGAGCGGCGGACGGGUGAGUAACGCGUGGGUAACCUGCCUCAUACAGGGGGGAUAACAGUUAGAAAUGACUGCUAAUACCGCAUAAGCACACAGUACCGCAUGGUACAGAGUGAAAAACUCCGGUGGUAUGAGAUGGACCCGCGU